AGCGAAGCCGCUCUGGGGAAGCCAGUUCACCGACUCCCCGGCCCCGAGCUUUCAGAUUGAAAGGAGGAAUUUCCCAAAUCCUCCGGAAGCCAGAACCCACGCUGUACCUCAUAGCGGAUGUCCCCAGCCACCGAAGAAGCUGGACUCUGCAAAUCUGAUUGCGUACAGGCUCCUCAGACAGAGCGGGACAAAGAAGACACUGUCUUUGGGAAAAAGUUCUUUACUUGUUAACAGCUCAUUCUUUUCUUGUCAGCCAUUAAUUGUAUCAUCUGAUGAUUUGUUGUAAGUAUUCUCUUUAAUGUUGUCAGCUUCUUGAAUAAUGAGACUUCAUUAUUAUAAUUAGACUAUUUUCAGGGGUGUCUGCGUGGCUCAGUCAGUUAAGCGUCUGCCUUCUGCUCAGGUCAUGAUCCCAGGGUCCUGGGAUCAAGCCCUACAUUGGGAUCCCUUCUCAGUGGGAGCAUGCUUUUCCCUCUCCCUCUGCCUGCCACAACCCCCUGCUUGUGCUCAUAAAUAAAUAAAUAAAUAAAUAAAUAAAUUAAAUAAAUAAAUUCUUUUUUAAAAAGUAUCUUCAAAUCACAAUUCUACCUAUUGUGUGAUUUUUCUUUCUGUCUUGGUUUCAUAGUAAUUUUUACCAUUGUUGGCCCAUGAUUUUGAGGGUUCCUCUCACAUUUUCUGCUUCUAGUUGGACAUGUCUUAUCUGCUUGGGUAAUGUGAUAUGAAGUAAUAAUGUCCAAAAAGAGUAUAUGACAAAAGUAAAUUUAAA
rnacentral:lncRNA from 1 species